UCCCAGCCUCAAUGCUGUUACUGAAGAACAACCCCUAUUCCUCCUCUCCUGCUGCACCGGAGGAAAAACAGGGAUCCUCAAAGGUCCAUGCUCCAAUCCCGUGUCGACCACAACCCAUCAAGACCCACAACUUUCCCCACCCCUGGCUCCUGCCUGAUAACCCUGACUGGGUGACCAUGUCCGUCAUAGCCGAAGGGGGCACGGUGAUCCACCACAACCCCAGCAUGUUGCCGUCACCAGCCAUAAACCCCAGUACACACUGCCAAAGCACCCAGGAAAGGGUUCGCAGAGCACAGAAACUCUGGGCUCAACUAAGCCCUGUAGUGAAAGCUAGUGGAGGCCCCCUGCAGAGCCUGGCAGAGCAGGUUGAUGGGGUUCGAAAUUUGGAAGAGCAUGUGAGGUCCACAGCGGCCUCAGCCUCAGCCUCAGCCUCAGCCUCAGCCUCAGCCUCAGCCUCAGCCUCAGCUGCAGUCUCUGCCUGCCAGAGCUGGAAGGCUGCUGGCGCUGAAGACACAGUGCCUCAUGAGGGCACGGACAAUGACGCCCCUUUAGACCUGUCAGAGUCAGGCCGUGACAAAGCUAUCAAAACCCCUCCUGAGGCUCCAGUCAAAACGACUCCUGCGGACUCACCCUUCUCCUCCUCUUCGUCAUCACCGCAUGCGCCAUCCUCAUCAUCGAUGGAGUCCUCUGGCUCUCAGAGUGAACUGAAGAUUACAUGGCAGGAUGACGCUGAUGAGGGAGUGCAGGCCGCAGAGCAAAGCAGGAAUGACAAAACUAUAGACCUCACAACUAGCCCAGGGAACCCAAAAGUGCCUGCAUUCACCAUCUCUCUCCGUCCAGUGGUGGUCUUGGAGAACAUGAAAAAAAGGCGUUCUGGACAGAACUCCGGUGACAUCUGGGUGACAUCGCAGCAGAAGGAGUACGAAGAAUAUGAAGAUGAGGCCCAAAACGAAGAACAACAAAGAAACCAGAGAAAAAGGAUAAGACAGGAGAAAGAGUCUCUGCAGCCAACCAGCCUUAUGGUGAAGCGUACAAGGACUGGUGGGAGGCUGAGGGACAGAAGCCCAGGUGACACAGACCAAGGAUGUCCACUCCCUACUGGCGUGCAAUGAGACUGAACGAGGACAGGAGGACCGAAGACUUUGAGACCGUGGGAAUAAUGCUGAAGGCUUUCCAGAUAAUGUUGAGUCAGUCACCGACAAAAACUUUGGCAUCAAAAGAACAAAGAUCUAAAUCUCAAAAAAUGUCAACUUCAAUGCCACUAGCUGUCAAACUACUUUUGGAUAGAAUAUCAUAAGCUGUAUAUAGGUCAAGCCACUUUUUUGUAUUUUAGUUGACUAGCUAAUAGCUAAACCUCUACAUAGUUUGCUCUUUUAGACAAAUGAUAUAUUGCACAGAUUUCCUGGCACCCUAUAGCCUUUUGUCUCAGCAGGCCAAACAGGAAGUGAGUGGCCAUUGUCCUUCCUGGUCCUGAGGGCGAUGAGUAAAAUAAUACCAGACAUGACCACUUCCGCCUCACGUUUUUCUCUUAAAGUCUCUGGAUCUGCUUUCUGUCGCUUUUCUGUGGCAAGGUCCUUCUAAAAGACCUUCUAAAAGACAGUCAGUCCCUUUCGUUUCAUUUCACAGCAUUUCCUUUCCAUUUUUGCCAUUUUUCUGUUUGUCUUUUGUCCCCCUUCAUUCUACAUGGGUUCAUUAUUCUGCGCAGCGGACAGUCAAAGUUUCAAAUAAAAGUUUC
rnacentral:lncRNA from 1 species